rnacentral:rRNA from 1 species
GCUUGCUUGGUGGAUCAGUGGCGAACGGGUGAGUAACACGUGAGCAACCUGCCCUGGACUCUGGGAUAAGCGCUGGAAACGGCGUCUAAUACUGGAUAUGAGACGUGAUCGCAUGGUCGUGUUUGGAAAGAUUUUUCGGUCUGGGAUGGGCUCGCGGCCUAUCAGCUUGUUGGUGAGGUAAUGGCUCACCAAGGCGUCGACGGGUAGCCGGCCUGAGAGGGUGACCGGCCACACUGGGACUGAGACACGGCCCAGACUCCUACGGGAGGCAGCAGUGGGGAAUAUUGCACAAUGGGCGAAAGCCUGAUGCAGCAACGCCGCGUGAGGGAUGACGGCCUUCGGGUUGUAAACCUCUUUUAGCAGGGAAGAAGCGAAAGUGACGGUACCUGCAGAAAAAGCGCCGGCUAACUACGUGCCAGCAGCCGCGGUAAUACGUAGGGCGCAAGCGUUAUCCGGAAUUAUUGGGCGUAAAGAGCUCGUAGGCGGUUUGUCGCGUCUGCUGUGAAAUCCCGAGGCUCAACCUCGGGCCUGCAGUGGGUACGGGCAGACUAGAGUGCGGUAGGGGAGAUUGGAAUUCCUGGUGUAGCGGUGGAAUGCGCAGAUAUCAGGAGGAACACCGAUGGCGAAGGCAGAUCUCUGGGCCGUAACUGACGCUGAGGAGCGAAAGGGUGGGGAGCAAACAGGCUUAGAUACCCUGGUAGUCCACCCCGUAAACGUUGGGAACUAGUUGUGGGGACCAUUCCACGGUUUCCGUGACGCAGCUAACGCAUUAAGUUCCCCGCCUGGGGAGUACGGCCGCAAGGCUAAAACUCAAAGGAAUUGACGGGGACCCGCACA